rnacentral:rRNA from 1 species
AGAGUUUGAUCAUGGCUCAGGAUAAACGCUGGCGGCGCACAUAAGACAUGCAAGUCGAACGGACUUAACCAUUAGUUUACUAUUGGAGCGGUUAGUGGCGGACUGGUGAGUAACACGUAAGCAACCUGCCUGUUAGAGGGGAACAACAGUUAGAAAUGACUGCUAAUACCGCAUAUGCCUUGAGUAUCGCAUGGUACAAGAGGGAAAGGAGCAAUCCGCUAACAGAUGGGCUUGCGUCUGAUUAGAUAGUUGGUGGGGUAACGGCCUACCAAGUCGACGAUCAGUAGCCGG